CGAUGCCCGAAAGCAUUGUCACAGCCGUGUCUGUGCUCCUCCGAGCAGGGGGACGCUGCAGUCUGAACGUCGGGGCCGCCUGGAUUAUGCCUUCUCACCCAACAGGCCACGCAAGUUCUUCGGCUGGGGGAGGACGCUGCGGAAGAUCCUGGAGACGGGGUUCCUCACCUCAUCUCAACGGAGGUUAAACACUCCCCGGCGAGCACCCUGCUUCUGGUUCCGGUGCUCCUGCAUCUUGCCAUCACUUCUGCGACCCUGAAAGAAAAAGUAAGGGAGGGUAAAGGAAGGAGCAGGGAAACGUCCUCAGCGUAAAGUCACUGAAAUGUGAUUCCUCGUGGAAGACGGCCGUGGUUCUCCACUCAGGUGCUGGCCAGUACAAGACAGAAAAAGCAGAAGAGCAAGGAAGGAUAAAGGGUGGGAGGGGGAAACAAGAUUGUCACUAUUCAUAGAUGGAAUAUUCCAUAAAAAUUUAAAACUGAAUUAAUAAUAAAGUGUAUCAAGAUUGCUGAUACAAAUUCUACAUACCAGCAAGAGGGGCUUUUCAAGGCUUUUUUUUAAAAGAGCCAUUUAUAAUAACAGGAAAAAAUAAUUUCCCUUGCAAUAAUUAUAACAAAAUGACUUAUAAAGAAUCUUAGAAGAAAAUGGGUAACUUUAACAAAAGACAUUAAAGAGGUCCUUCCUAAAAGGGACAUAUGAGCUGGAUAAGACAGCUAAAUAUAACUGAAAUGUCAACUCUCCUAAAAUUGAUUUUUUCAUUCAAGGGAUUUCCAAUCAAAAUUCCAACAACAUUUUUAAAUAAAACUUGACAAGGUGAUUUUAAAAGUUUUAAUCAAAAACAAAGUAACAAGAAUAAAGAAAGACACUCCAGAAGAGUAAAAGAUUUGCUUUCCUAAAUAUCAAACCUUAAUGUAAAACCAUAAUAAGUAAGUUAGUUUGGUAUUCACACAGGAACAGAGUAAAAAGCUUAGAAACAUACUUAGGCAUUAAGAGAAAUAUGACAGAGGUAUUUAGAGAGCUCAGUGGGGAAAGCUGGGCCAUUUAAAAAAAUGUUACUGGGACAAGUGGUUAUCUACAUUAAAAAAAUUUAUCUGUACUUCAUACUGUACACAAAUAUCAAUGACAGAUGAUUGAGGGUAUAUGUGAGAAAAUCAAACCUUAGAGUUUUUAGGAAGAAAUAUAACAGAGUGCCUUUAUUACCUCAGGAUAGAGAAGAAUUCCUUAACCAGCAAAUAGAAAGUACUCUCCAUAAAAUAACAGAUGUCACAUUAAAAUGAAGAACAUCCAUUCACCCAAGGCAAGCUACAUAAAUCAGUCAAUAUUUGCCACACAGAUAAUUGUCAUAAGUUGUGUGUCCAGGAUAUAUAAAGAACUACUGACAAUAAAAAAGGAAACAACCUAAAAAGAAAAGUGGGUGGAUUGGCUUAAAGAUGGUGAUGUGAGAGAUGAGACACAAACCUCCUCCCAAAACCACACAUAAUAUGAAAAUAUAGCAAACACAACUAAUACUGAAAAAGCAACAGGAAAGAAGGCUGCGGCAGACUGCCUACACCUGGGAAACAGAGCAGACCUUACUGGAAAAGGGUAAAGUACCAACGCCCUGAUCCGGCAGGACCCAAACCCUUCCCCCACCCCAGCUCACUGGCAGGAAGAAGAGAAAUAUAGCAGGGAGUGGGUGGAGGCCUACAACUGCUGAACAUCGAGCCCUGGAGAUAUUCUCUGGGAGCAAAAACUUACAUUACAUGGUACUCUGGAGAUUACUGGGGUUAGAAAGCUAAGACAGGCAGAAUACUUGGAGAGACUGAGAUUUCAGACACUUGUGGAGAACAGGCACCAAAAAACAGCCACUUUGUAACAGAAGGUGAGCACUCUUGCGAGACUUCUAACAGUGAGAGGGCUGCUAAAGGGGCAAGGGCUGUACAGAGCUUGAUGCUCAGGAGAAAGGACAGGUGGACAAAAUUGUCCCAGUGCAAUCAGCCCAGAGGUUGGGAACUUUCAAGAACUUCAAGCACUCCAUCGCACUGGCUGGCAACACAGCUAUGAGGCCCCCUACCAUGAUACACAGCCUGCCACUCAUUCCCCCCGGCUGGCACCAGCUUGCAAACAGGCUACCCCCACCACUGUGCCUGGCCAGCCAGAGGACGGACCUGGCUAUGGCAGCUACAAGUCCAUAGCAUAGAGGCUCCGCCCUGCAUGCUCAGCCCACUGGCCCUGGCAUGGGAAACAGGAAAGAGCCCUUUCCUCCAGACAAGCACCAGCACCACUCACCUGUGAUCCCCGCCAUCUCUCCAGGGGCUGAGCACCUUGAGAGAGUAGAGCUUCUGAAUACUAGAGGGUGUCACCUACAAAUGUGAAAUGUCAAAGGAACCUGGUUCAAACCCAAAUCCCACAAACACUAGAAAGAUGGCCAAGUGAAACUGAAGUCACCAAUCCCACUGAAAGAGACCUCAAAAUAAAAAUCAUAAAAACACUCAUGGAGCUACAGAAAAAUAUUCAAGAACUCAGGGACAAAUUUAGGACAGAUAUUCAAUCAUUAAGAAAUUCGGUAUCUUUCUUAAUGAUUAGAGAAUAGAAAUUAGAGAAGAGGAAUAUGAAGAAGCUGAGGCACAGAGAGAAAAAAAGGAUCUCUAGGAAUGAAACAAUAUUGAGAGAACAUUGUGACCAAUCCAAACAGAACAACAUUCACUUUAUAGGAGUACCAGAAGAAGAAGACAGAGAGAAAGGGAUAGAAAGUGUCUUUGAGGAGGUAAUUACUGAAAACUCCCCAAAUCUGGGGAAGGAGAUAGUCUCUCAGGCCAUGGAGGUGCACAGAUCACCCAAAACAAAGGACCCAAGGAAGACAACACCAAGACAUAUAGUAAUUAAAAUGGCAAGAUCAAGGAUAAGGACAGAAUAUUAUAAUCACCCAGAGAGAAAGAAAAGAUCACAUACAAAGGAAAACCCAGCAGGAUAUCAUCAGACUUCUCAACAGAAACCUUAGAGGCCAGAAGGGAGUGACAUGAUAUAUCUAAUGGAAUGAAACAGGAGGGCUUCGAACCAAGAAUACUCUACCCAGGAAGACGAUCAUUUAAAUUUGAAGGAGGGAUUAAACAAUUUCCAGAUAAGCAAAAGUUGAGAGAAUUUACCUCCCACAAACUGAUCCUACAUGGAGGGACUGCUAUAGAUGGAAAUGUUCCUAAGGCUAAAUCGUUGUCACCAGGGGAAAUAAAACCACAGUAAAGAAAGUAGACCAAUUAAUUACUAAGCAAAUGCAAAAUCUAAUCAACUACCCUCAAAGUCAUUCAAGGGAUGGACAAAGAAUACAGAAUAUGAUACCUAAUAUACAAAGAAUGGAGGAAGAAGAAAAAGGAGGGGAAAAAAAAGAACCUUUAGAUUGUGUUUGUUAUAGCAUACUGAGUGAGUUAAAUUAGACUCUUAGAUAGUAAGGAAGUUCCCUUGAACCUUUGGUACCCAUGAAUCUAAAGCCUAGAAUGGCAAUAAGUACCUACCUAUUGAUAAUCAGCCUAAAUGUAAACAGUCUGAAUGCACCAAUCAAAAGACACAGAUUCACUGAAUGGAUAAAAAAACAAGACCCAUCUCUAUGCUGCCUGCAAGAGACUCACUUCAAACCCAAAGACAUACACAGACUAAAAGUGAAGGGACGGAAAAGAUAUUUCAUGCAACUAAUAAGGAGAAAAAAGCAGGAGAUGCAGUACUUGUAUCAGACAAAAUAGACUUCAAAACAAAGAAAGUAACAAGAGACAAAGAAGGACAUUACACCAUGAUAAAGGGGUCGAUCCAACAAGAAGAUAUAACCAUUAUAAAUAUAUAUGCACCCAACAUAGGAGCAACUACAUAUGUGAAACAAAUACUAACAGAAGUAAAGAGGAAAUAGAAUGCAAUGCAUUCAUUCUAGGAGAAUUCAACACUCCACUCACUCCAAAGGAUCAACCAGACAGAAAAUAAGUAAGGAGACAGAGGCAUUGAACAACACAUUAGAAUAGAUGGACCUAACAGACAUCUACAGAACUCUACACCCAAAAGCAGCAGGAUACACAUUCUUCUCAAGUGCACAUGGAACAUUUUCAAGAAUAGAUCAUAUACUAGGUCACAAAAAGAGCCUCAGUAAAUUCAAAAAGAUUGAAAUUGUACCAACCAGCUUCUCAGACCACAAAGGUAUGAAACUAGAAAUAAGUUACUCAAAGAAAAUGAAAAAUCCCACAAACACAUGGAGUCUUAACAACAUGCUCCUAAAUAACCAAUGGAUCAAUAACCAAAUAAAAACAGAGAUCAAGUAAUAUUCAGAGACAAAUGACAACAAUAUUUUAACACCGCAAAAUCUGUGGGAUGCAGCAAAGGCCGUGCUAAGGGGGAAGUAUAUUGCAAUACAGGCCUACCUCAGGAAAGAACAAUCCCAUAUGAACAGUCUAAACUCACAAUUAAUGAAACUAGAAAAAGAAGAACAAAUGAGGCCCAAAGUCAGUAGAAGGAGGGACAUAAUAAAGGUUAGAGCAGAAAUAAAUAAAAUCGAGAAGAAUAAAACAAUAGAAUCAAUCAAAGUAGGAGCUGGUUCUUUGAAAAAAUAAACAAAACAGAUAAACCCCUAGCCAGAUUUACCAAUAAAAAAAGAGAGUCUACACACAUAAACAGAAUCAGAGAUGAGAAAGGAAAAAUCACCACAGACACC